UACAGAGGUCUCAAGCGUUGUUCGGAUUCAUUGGGCGUAAAGGGUGCGUAGGUGGCGCUGUAAGUCGGGUGUGAAAUUUCGGAGCUUAACUCCGAAACUGCAUUCGAUACUGCGGUGCUUGAGGACUGGAGAGGAGACUGGAAUUCAUGGUGUAGCAGUGAAAUGCGUAGAUAUCGUGAGGAAGACCAGUGGCGAAGGCGGGUCUCUGGACAGUUCCUGACGCUGAGGCGCGAAGGCCAGGGGAGCAAACGGG
rnacentral:rRNA from 1 species